AAGUUCUUUUGAUUAUGUCGGUGAAGCUAAUGACAUUUUCAUAUACACGCGACUUCCAGUCUAAGAGUAUUCGGUAAACAUUAUUUACCUUGCUAAUGGGCAAGCCAGACCAGCUGUUGGCGAACUUUUAAAUAAAUGAUUUUUUUAAAAAUUUAUUUAAUGAAUGGUAAAAAAUGCUUUCGUUGUGAGUUUGACUAAUGACGAACAAGCAACAGUAACUUUAGCAAUGCAUAGUUGGGGGAGAGGUGAAUUAUGAACUCAACUUCUAAAGUGUUUGUUAUUGUCUGUUAAUGAAUGCUAGGUGUGUACUGUAUAUCUUCAAUUCUUCAUCGGAAUAUUAAAGAAAAGCGGCUUUUCCUCAAAAGGCUCAUGAAUUUUAACUUUAUAACGAAAUAAAGAGCGUCCUGUUUUGUUGUGCCAUAAACUGUUAAGAGCCUGGAGAGUGCAUAAAUAAAACUACAGUCGUGGGCUGAUAUUCAAACCCAACGAAAGUAGAAACUGGAAAAGAAAGAAUGCAGAAAAGGAAUAUAUUGAUAGAAUGCUUUGUUGUGAAGUUGAAAAACAAAUUUUCGUGUUAUAAUUGGCUUUGACUAUAAACAGAUCCUGAUAAUUGUAUCGAAGCCGAAAUUUUAAUUUAAAAAUUUUAAAAUACAACUAACACCAAGGUAUUGUACUCUGCUGGACUGCAAUAUUUAUAA